AAUACUGCUAGAAGCUUCUGAGGAACCUUCAUUCAUUCCUGCAGCUGGUGAGAGAGAAAAUGAAUAGUAAUUCAUAAGACUGAGGUAACAUUUUUUCUGUACAUGAAGAUAAUCAAAAUGAUAUUGUUCACUGUUAGAUAAUUACUGGUGAUGUUGUAACACCUUCCUUAACACUUUCCAUUACAGUUGGCAUCGCAACUACCAUGGCAAAUUGCUGUGGCAUCAGGAUGCCCAGCCAUGAGAAGCCAUCUGCUGUGCUGUAAAGGCAGAGGAUGAGUGAUCGGUGAUGCCUGAAAGUAAAAGAAUUCCCAUUUUACCAGGUUGUGUCACCCACACAAUAUCACAACUUUUAGCAAAAAUCUGUAAUAAUAAUAGUUUGUAAUGAUUACAAAAUACUUCACAAUUCUGUCAAAUUUAAUAAAGUCAGACAUUUUUUCUUUGAAAGAGCUACUGUUUUUAAGUAUACGUAACAAAAUGAACAAAAAUCCAGAAUGCAGACAAAUGAAGAAUGUAUAUAUAUAUCGCUAUUUUUGUCCCAGUAAAAAUAAGUAAGUCCUGUUGUUAUGACUAAUGCACUGUGACCUUACUGAUAUCCUUCAACUAAGUUCAUAUUCUUUUCUGCAAUACUAUUUCCUUCUGGAACACGUGUUAUGUGCUGCUGGGAAGGGAUAGCUCAAUGAACUGUAUGACAAGCAACAUGUCAUCUCUACAAGAACAUGUAACUGUAAGUAGGAAAAAGUCCCAUCUGGACGUUGAUAUUCAGAAGCAUCAGAAGGAUACUGCCAUUCUCCAGCUGUGGAACUGAGCACAGAGCACUCCUCUGCAUGCCUGCAGCUUUGAACGUGCGGGUAUAUAUGUAGAACAUUUCAGUUUACUAGAAUCCAUGGCACUGUGAGAAAAUGGUGCAUGCAAUGUACAUUUGUUCAGAUAAGAUCAUACCUGGAAAGUGUUUCACUUGCUUUUGUAUCAUAGAUCUAAUAGUCAGAGAAUCAAAAUUCUGGUUAUCAUACUCCUGUCUUCCUAAAACCCAAUGUUGCACUUGGAAAUGCAGUUCCAAAUCCCCAGGGAAAGUGGUAGGUAAGUGGCUGAUGUCUUUUUAACCUGUUGUCCUCAAAAGUUUCCUGUAAUAGAGAUUUGAAAUCUCACCACGUUAUCUGCUGCAACACUCAACUAUCUUGGCAUGAGAACACAUUUUUCUUACCUGCUAAGCUAAAUCUAUCCACAGCAGGUACUGAGAAAACUUCCUUCCUUCUUUCCCCUUUGCCACUAUGAUCCAUGCAGCUGUGGAGUGGUAUCACAUCUUUCUUCAACUCUCCCUCCUCCAGACUUAGCAGCUCCACUGCCUUAAACUUUUCCACAUUAUUUUUAAAAUAAUGUGUUUAAAGUAUUGUUUAAAAUAUUGAUUAUGUUUAAAAUAGCACUCCUGUGACUCAUUGCUGUGCUCUCUCCAGUUGCUCUCUGCCUUUCUAGAUGCAUCCUGUUUUCCCCUGGUGUGGGGAGCAAUUUAAAUGUGUAUCACAAUCCACUUUAAUGUGCAGCUGCAAAUUCCAGAAAUCUUCACUACUAUGAAGUACAAUACCUGAAUUUCACAUUAAAUGCUUCAUU
rnacentral:lncRNA from 7 species